UUUCUGCCUAUUUGCGGCUUUGAGUGUC
rnacentral:sRNA from 1 species